GUCCUGCGUCGCGCCGCGUUCCGUUUCCGCAAACAAUAUUAUUAAAUAUUAUAAUUGCUUUACGAGGACGGCGCUUGGAUAAAACCGUCGCUUUCUGUGUACACGCCGUUCGCGUCGAAAAACCCCGACGGCUGUGAAAUUACGAAAUCAUGCACUUUAUCUCGGUGUAAUUCGCGUCGAGUGUCAACCGCGUUCCGUAUGAAACGUCUAACGUCUCGUUGCGUUCAAAACACAAUUAGCUAUACGCACACGCACACGCACGCACGCACACACACACACACAGCGAUCCGGCGUUUCCGGCGUAAAGAUGACGCGCGCCCGAUAAAAUAAAGAGAUCCCGAUUUCCCUUUAAUCGCGGCGUACGACAAUUUUGUAUUUUGUAUUUUUUUUUUUUUUUUUUUUUUUUUUUUUUUUUAUUAUUAUUACGUGUUUACCAAUACGAUUACGGUGUCGGGUUGUUUUUUUUUUUUUUUUCACGGCAUUACGAACGAAUAUCGUCCACAUCCGAGGUUUUGUAACAUCCGGGUAUCGAUUGCGUUCGUUCGGGAUUUCGGUCUUGUUCACUUUUCUUUUUUUUCGUCUGCGCCUACGCGUGAUUACGUCGGGCCCGGGCCCCUGCAGAUUCGGUAUCGCUGUACGUCGACAAAAAACGUUACCGUUAAAGCAAUAUGCGAUUUCGUCGGUCCGCAAGACGCACGUCGUCUCGAGUCGGACGUGCUGCUCUUUUAUCAGUCAUCGACAUUGUCGUUUACGACGGCGAAUGCCGAAUUCCGUUUUGGUCCCGGUGCGAAACGAUACGCAAACGCGUUUCGUUUGUGUUUUACGGCCGAAAUAAACGGCGGCGUCGCGGUGAGUCCUUUAACGGCGGCGGGUCCUUUCGUUUGUUCGAAACCGGGUAAAGUUUUCGAAACUGUCUGUCGGUUUUCUCAACCGCGAAGGCCCAAUCACGCCCGAGUGGCCGAGAGCUAUAACCGUUGCGAUUGUAUAGUUUUUUUUUUGUAAUGUCUACGCGAUUGUUCUAUUUGUUCGUAUCUCGACUUGCGGUAAUGCUUCUUGUUCAUUUGCAAAUACCCUGUACGCAUCCAGCUUAUCGUACGUCUACAAUGGCAUCACAACUUAAAAAGCUUCUAUUUCGAUUCCUAUAGUCUGCUUCGCUGUACGUCGUCGGUCUCGAUUGUAAAACUUUUUCUUUUCUUUUCUUUCCUUUUUUUUUUUUUUUAAUCAAAUAAGCGGAUGAGCAUUUUCAUUCAAUUAGGUAUAAAUAUUUCGGUUUAGAUUUAUUAGAUAGGCGCCGACAAGAAAAAAAAAUACGUGUCGAGAUUUGUUUCCGCAUGAAUAACUAUACGCACAUUACAGAUAAUAAUAUUAAUAUAAAAUUUCACUUCAAAUAAUACGUUUUUUUUUUCAUUACUCGUUUGUACAAAUGUAAAUCGGAAAGGCAAGGAACAUUAGGUUAUUUGAUUUACAUCUAUAGGCGACGAUAAAUUAUUGCUGACGAAAUACUUAAUUCUAGUGCGAAAUUCGGUUGAACGUGUUUUAAAAUGCCGUAAUUUGUACGAUCUUCAAAACCUUUUUUUUUUUUUUUUUUUUUUUUUUCCAAUAAUUAUAACUUAUAAUUAACCUCUUAUAAAAUUGUCAAGAUUUUCUGUGUAGCCAGAUAAUUUUAAUAGUUUAUCCAGAUAAAACCAAAUAACUAUAAAAAUAUUCGAAAACGUCAAAUGCUUUUAAGCUUUUUAAGUAGCUCAUAAACCGCCAGAUAGGCUUGAAAAUUAUUUUGCUGCGUCUAUAAACGUCUAUAUACGAGUUUUUUGUGUAAACGUCAGAUGUCUGAAAUUAUUUUUAACUGGAUCGCAAUAAAAAAAUAAAAUCCUUAAUAAAAGAAAUCUUUAUUUUCGUAAUUGUUUUGGUUUUUUUUUUUUCAGUCAUUAAGAAAAUCUUAUCAACUAGACAAAAUCUUCUCUCGGAAAAGACACUAGUCUUAAUAUUCGGAGCGAGAUUUCUGGUAAAAAAUAAAAAUCAAAACAAUUUAAAAGAAUGAAAUCAUAAACUUCGUGAUUAUUUAUGCGGUUGUUUCCUUUACGUUUUUUG